rnacentral:rRNA from 1 species
GUGCCAGCAGCCGCGGUAAUACGUAGGAUGCGAGCGUUGUCCGGAAUUAUUGGGCGUAAAGCGUACGUAGGCGGUUUGUUAAGUUCGAUCUUAAAGACUGGGGCUCAACCUCAGGAGUGGAUUGAAGACUGGCAGGCUAGAGGACAUCAGAGGGAAGUGGAAUUCCGAGUGUAGCGGUGAAAUGCGUAGAUAUUCGGAGGAACACCAGAGGCGAAAGCGGCUUCCUGGGAUGGUCCUGACGCUGAGGUACGAAAGCUUGGGGAGCAAACAGGAUUAGAUACCCUGGUAGUCCAAGCCGUAAACGAUGAUCACUAGGUGUCAGGGGUAUCGACCCCCUUGGUGCCGAAGCUAACGCGAUAAGUGAUCCGCCUGGGGAGUACGGUCGCAAGACUGAA